CGUGAGGGAAAGGCGAAAAGAACCCCGGCGAGGGGAGUGAAAAAGAACCUGAAACCGUGUACGUACAAGCAGUGGGAGCCUCUUUAUGGGGUGACUGCGUACCUUUUGUAUAAUGGGUCAGCGACUUAUAUUCUGUAGCAAGGUUAACCGAAUAGGGGAGCCGAAGGGAAACCGAGUCUUAACUGGGCGUUAAGUUGCAGGGUAUAGACCCGAAACCCGGUGAUCUAGCCAUGGGCAGGUUGAAGGUUGGGUAACACUAACUGGAGGACCGAACCGACUAAUGUUGAAAAAUUAGCGGAUGACUUGUGGCUGGGGGUGAAAGGCCAAUCAAACCGGGAGAUAGCUGGUUCUCCCCGAAAGCUAUUUAGGUAGCGCCUCGUGAAUUCAUCUCCGGGGGUAGAGCACUGUUUCGGCAAGGGGGUCAUCCCGACUUACCAACCCGAUGCAAACUGCGAAUACCGGAGAAUGUUAUCACGGGAGACACACGGCGGGUGCUAACGUCCGUCGUGAAGAGGGAAACAACCCAGACCGCCAGCUAAGGUCCCAAAGUCAUGGUUAAGUGGGAAACGAUGUGGGAAGGCCCAGACAGCCAGGAUGUUGGCUUAGAAGCAGCCAUCAUUUAAAGAAAGCGUAAUAGCUCACUGGUCGAGUCGGCCUGCGCGGAAGAUGUAACGGGGCUAAACCAUGCACCGAAGCUGCGGCAGCGACACUAUGUGUUGUUGGGUAGGGGAGCGUUCUGUAAGCCUGUGAAGGUGGCCUGUGAGGGUUGCUGGAGGUAUCAGAAGUGCGAAUGCUGACAUAAGUAACGAUAAAGCGGGUGAAAAGCCCGCUCGCCGGAAGACCAAGGGUUCCUGUCCAACGUUAAUCGGGGCAGGGUGAGUCGACCCCUAAGGCGAGGCCGAAAGGCGUAGUCGAUGGGAAACAGGUUAAUAUUCCUGUACUUGGUGUUACUGCGAAGGGGGGACGGAGAAGGCUAUGUUGGCCGGGCGACGGUUGUCCCGGUUUAAGCGUGUAGGCUGGUUUUCCAGGCAAAUCCGGAAAACCAAGGCUGAGGCGUGAUGACGAGGCACUACGGUGCUGAAGCGACAAAUGCCCUGCUUCCAGGAAAAGCCUCUAAGCAUCAGGUAACAUCAAAUCGUACCCCAAACCGACACAGGUGGUCAGGUAGAGAAUACCAAGGCGCUUGAGAGAACUCGGGUGAAGGAACUAGGCAAAAUGGUGCCGUAACUUCGGGAGAAGGCACGCUGAUAUGUAGGUGAAGCGACUUGCUCGUGGAGCUGAAAUCAGUCGAAGAUACCAGCUGGCUGCAACUGUUUAUUAAAAACACAGCACUGUGCAAACACGAAAGUGGACGUAUACGGUGUGACGCCUGCCCGGUGCCGGAAGGUUAAUUGAUGGGGUUAGCGGUAACGCGAAGCUCUUGAUCGAAGCCCCGGUAAACGGCGGCCGUAACUAUAACGGUCCUAAGGUAGCGAAAUUCCUUGUCGGGUAAGUUCCGACCUGCACGAAUGGCGUAAUGAUGGCCAGGCUGUCUCCACCCGAGACUCAGUGAAAUUGAACUCGCUGUGAAGAUGCAGUGUACCCGCGGCAAGACGGAAAGACCCCGUGAACCUUUACUAUAGCUUGACACUGAACAUUGAGCCUUGAUGUGUAGGAUAGGUGGGAGGCUUUGAAGUGUGGACGCCAGUCUGCAUGGAGCCGACCUUGAAAUACCACCCUUUAAUGUUUGAUGUUCUAACGUUGGCCCGUAAUCCGGGUUGCGGACAGUGUCUGGUGGGUAGUUUGACUGGGGCGGUCUCCUCCUAAAGAGUAACGGAGGAGCACGAAGGUUGGCUAAUCCUGGUCGGACAUCAGGAGGUUAGUGCAAUGGCAUAAGCCAGCUUGACUGCGAGCGUGACGGCGCGAGCAGGUGCGAAAGCAGGUCAUAGUGAUCCGGUGGUUCUGAAUGGAAGGGCCAUCGCUCAACGGAUAAAAGGUACUCCGGGGAUAACAGGCUGAUACCGCCCAAGAGUUCAUAUCGACGGCGGUGUUUGGCACCUCGAUGUCGGCUCAUCACAUCCUGGGGCUGAAGUAGGUCCCAAGGGUAUGGCUGUUCGCCAUUUAAAGUGGUACGCGAGCUGGGUUUAGAACGUCGUGAGACAGUUCGGUCCCUAUCUGCCGUGGGCGCUGGAGAACUGAGGGGGGCUGCUCCUAGUACGAGAGGACCGGAGUGGACGCAUCACUGGUGUUCGGGUUGUCAUGCCAAUGGCACUGCCCGGUAGCUAAAUGCGGAAGAGAUAAGUGCUGAAAGCAUCUAAGCACGAAACUUGC
rnacentral:rRNA from 1 species